AACGAAGAUAACCUAAAGAAUAUAGGCGCAGGUCUAACCAUGGUCGCUAUUAUCAAUCAGCAACAGUAAGGUGCGAAGAAAACUUAGGGGCAUAUACACUUAGGGCCCAUUUGUGAUUUCUAAACGUUUACGGAUUCAGAAUUAUUUUAAUCUUAUUUUGUAUUCCAUAUUCCCAGACCAUUCUGCUACUGCUUAUCAAUUUUCCUAAAGAAUAUACCGUUAGGAAGAUCAAAAAAAAAAUCAACAGGAAUUUAUAUUAAUUUAAUGGGGAAAAAACAUAAAUACCCUAAUUACAAGCACAGAAAAUUUAUUAUAAGCUAGUAAUAAGUUUGAUCUGCAAAUAAAAGCACAAAAAAUUAAUUAUAUAUUCCUGUUCCAUCAUCAGGAUGCAAGACAAUAGGUCAUUUACAUCUCUGUAAUUUAUCAAAGUAUUCAGUGUAUUAUUAAAGAAAUAUAACAAAAUGGCUCUUCCAAUUACCAUGUCUUUGGUCAACUGCCAAGCUAUAUUAAAUAAAGUUUAGUAUCCAGGAUCAAUGGUGACAUCUCCAGGGUCAAGGACAUAUAGAAGAAUAUCUCCUCCACUCGUCCCAUCUUCUUGCUGAACAAUUGUUCCAUCUGAGAAAAUGAACGUAUUACCUGUAACAUAACAACUGUUUGUGAAAUAAAAUACUAAGACAAAUAACACAAUCAUCAUUUGUGGGUUGGGACUCCUUGGACGAGGGAUCGGCCCAUCGCAAGGCCUCUACCUGUACUCAGGACAGCACAACACAGAAAAACAUCCAUGGCUUGAGUGGGAUUCGAACCCACGGUCCAAGCGGCACAAGGCCCACACCUCGGACCGCACGGCCACUGCGGACCCCUUGAGAAUCAUACCAUUAGGUUGACACUGGAACUGGGAUUUAUCUGCUGUGAAGUCUGUGCAGCACUGCCAUUACUUGAUGACUGAGAAAGAGGGCCUGUUAAACUGGCAUUCACCAACGUGUUGGCUGGAGAGUCAUUGCCACCUGCUUCUAGUUUAUCC